AUGGCAAAAUGGUUGAUUAUUACUAUUUUUUUCACAGUUCAUGAGUUUGUGUGCUGGGGACAAGACAAAGUUGAACAACCUUCAAGAGAAAUGACUGCCAAUGAAGCAGCUCAAAUUACUUUACUGUGCAAUUACUCUACCAGCAGUUAUAAUAAUGCAUAUCUCUUCUGGUACAAAUGACUACAAAAUAGAUCACCAACAUUCAUUCUGAGGGAAUUUACAGUUGGUAAAGGAACUACUGAGGAUGAAUUUAAAGAGAGAUUUUCUUCAACACUGGAUUCAACAUCAAGAACAGUUCCACUGAUGAUCAAGAAUCUGCGUGUGUCUGACUCUGCUGUGUACUACUGUGCUCUGCAACCCACAGUGACUGAAACACACUCAAUUCUCACACAAAAGCCCAGGAAGACACAUUACAGAGGAUAA